rnacentral:rRNA from 1 species
UACGUAGGGGGCGAGCGUUGUCCGGAAUUAUUGGGCGUAAAGGGUGCGUAGGCGGCUGAACAAGUCAGAUGUGAAAGGUUAAGGCUUAACUUUAAUAAGCAUAUGAAACUGUUCAGCUUGAGUUAAGGAGAGGGGAGUGGAAUUCCUAGUGUAGCGGUGAAAUGCGUAGAUAUUAGGAGGAAUACCAGUGGCGAAGGCGACUCUCUGGACUUAAACUGACGCUGAGGCACGAAAGCGUGGGGAGCAAACA